rnacentral:rRNA from 1 species
UGGAGAGUUUGAUCCUGGCUCAGAUUGAACGCUGGCGGCAGGCUUAACACAUGCAAGUCGAGCGGGGRAAGGUAGCUUGCUACUGGACCUAGCGGCGGACGGGUGAGUAAUGCUUAGGAAUCUGCCUAUUAGUGGGGGACAACAUUCCGAAAGGAAUGCUAAUACCGCAUACGUCCUACGGGAGAAAGCAGGGGACCUUCGGGCCUUGCGCUAAUAGAUGAGCCUAAGUCGGAUUAGCUAGUUGGUGGGGUAAAGGCCUACCAAGGCGACGAUCUGUAGCGGGUCUGAGAGGAUGAUCCGCCACACUGGGACUGAGACACGGCCCAGACUCCUACGGGAGGCAGCAGUGGGGAAUAUUGGACAAUGGGGGGAACCCUGAUCCAGCCAUGCCGCGUGUGUGAAGAAGGCCUUAUGGUUGUAAAGCACUUUAAGCGAGGAGGAGGCUACUAGUAUUAAUACUACUGGAUAGUGGACGUUACUCGCAGAAUAAGCACCGGCUAACUCUGUGCCA